GUCAUGAAUUAGUGUAACAAAUUAGCUUAAGCUUUCAAAUUUACCCUCACCGUUAUCCUUUGUUUCUCACGUCUAAAAUCUUUUCCUUUUCUUUUUCAUGCUUCUUCAUUCCACUGUAAUAUCAACAAAUUCCCAACUUAUCAAUUUAAACCUUUUUUUAAUCCCUUUCCCUCCGAACCGAAUCUGCAUUUUCUCUUCUUCUUUAACUCUUUUUCUCUUCAAUAUAUUGACAAAAUUGGAAAUUAUUGAUAGCUUACUCCAUUGAAAAAAAUAAAGUGAAACAUUUUUCGGGUUAUCUCGCAGGAUCGAAGAACUGUUAAUUUCUUGUAAGAAUGGUUGCAACCAAAAUGCAGAGAACAAAAUAUUAAAACAAGGGGUAUUUAGUUACUAUCCUUAUCGAAAAGGAGUGCGGCUUGUGGAGUUUCUACAUAAUGUGCCUAAUCUAAAGACCCUUAUUCUAGAUCUGGCUGAUGGUGAAAAAGGAUUGAAGUCACUACCUAUACUUUCUUGUUUAUCAUUUCAUGUCAAGGUGACCAAAAUUUCUAGAGUUGAUGAAAUCAGAUAUGUGUUUAAAAUGAUUAGUUAUUUCUUGAACCAUGUAAUGGUUCUGGAGAAGCUCAGAAUGAUUAAUCUGCUUGAAAGAAGUAAAUUGUGUAUCUUCAAAAAGCUGUUGAGGUUACCAAUGAAUUCAAAGAAAUGUGAAGUCCUAGUACACUAGUAUUUCUUAUGUUAUGGUUGGAACUGUUCACCGUCUCUAUAGGUUUGGUUUUGUAUAGCACUUUGGAGAAAUUAAAUGCCAUAUGGUGUUAUGGUUAAAUUGUUCAUUGUCUGCUAUUUGUGUAUUUGAUUUAUGUAACAGAGUUAGAACAGUUUGUUGAAUGUAGUGGGUUUGAUUUAUUUUUGGUUUUUUGGUCAUUUUAUAAUCAUGGAACACCAUUGAUGUAUAAUAAGUCACAUUGGAAUGGUAUCCCAAAUCAUAGAGCAGCAGCGCUUACUCUUG